UCCCCGUGGGCCCAGGAAGCAUUACGUACUCUCUUACCUCCAUUUCACAGGACCCGGCUCGGCCCUCUCCCGCCUGCUCCCACCGUCACCCACACACCUGCCCGCACCGGCUUUACGACUCGAGGCCCUUCAGCACCUGCUCCUCUCAGCUGCCUGGAGCGAGCGGACGCAGGGGGCGAUUCCUCCCCACUUUACCCAAGAGGAUGGUGAGGCUCUGAGAGGCGAAGGGACAGCUCUGAGGGCUCCAGAGAGGCUGGAAACAGGAGGAGCCGCUGGGCUCAGCACCAGCUCUCAAAGCAACAGCCACCAUUUUCUGAAGACAUACUGUGCCCCUGGAAAUUCCCUGCAGGAGGAGGGGGAGAAGCAUCCGCUCGCUGGAAGCGCCUGAGAGGAGAAAGCCCAGCCUGCCAAAUGCACAUCAUUGUUCUCACCACAUCCCGGCCCGGACCUGCUUCAGCCAGACCUCUGCCCUGCCUGGACCGUGAACUUCAGAACGCUGGAUUAUCUUGAUUCUGUUCACUCGGGAAGAGAUUAGAGCUGUUUUGGGAAGUUGGCUGGACCUCCUGCUCUGUCCACCCCACCCCUCCCGCCCCAGUUACAGUUACAGGGCCGGGGGGCGGGGGGGCGGCUGGGCCACAUCCACAGCCUGUGAGGAAGCUCAGCUCAGAGGGAGGCAGAAACCAGCAGGGGCUGGACGCCGACCACAGGCCAGCAGGAAACCAACAGGGGUCUCCUCGCUGUGAGCGAGGCGGGGACCCGGCUUCACGCACAGCCUGCAGCCCGCGUGGUCCCACCUGGACCGUGACCCCAA